GUGCUCACUUCAGUAUCACAUGUAAUAAAACUAGAGUGAUACGGAGAUUAGCAUGGCCCUUAUGUAGAAUAACAUGUAAGUUGGUGAAACAUUCCAUAUUUUU
rnacentral:snRNA from 1 species